UACGUAGGUGGCAAGCGUUGUCCGGAUUUACUGGGCGUAAAGAGCGCGCAGGCGGUCGUUCAAGUCGCGUGUGAAAGCCCCCGGCUCAACUGGGGAGGGUCACGCGAUACUGAUCGACUCGAAGGCAGGAGAGGGUAGUGGAAUUCCCGGUGUAGUGGUGAAAUGCGUAGAUAUCGGGAGGAACACCAGUGGCGAAGGCGACUACCUGGCCUGUUUCUUGACGCUGAGGCGCGAAGGCGUGGGGAGCGAACGGG
rnacentral:rRNA from 1 species